UAUUGGGCAAUGGGCGAAAGCCUGACCCAGCAACGCCGCGUGAAGGAAGAAGGCUUUCGGGUNGUAAACUUCUUUUACCAGGGACNNAANNNGNGACGGUACCUGGAGAAAAAGCUCCGGCUAACUACGUNNNANCNGCCGCGGUAAUACGUAGGGAGCAAGCGUUGUCCGGAUUUACUGGGUGUAAAGGGCGUGUAGGCGGAGACGCAAGUCAGGAGUGAAAUCCCCGGGCUCAACCCGGGAACUGCUUUUGAAACUGCGUCCCUUGAGUAUCGGAGAGGCAGGCGGAAUUCCUAGUGUAGCGGUGAAAUGCGUAGAUAUUAGGAGGAACACCAGUGGCGAAGGCGGCCUGCUGGACGACAACUGACGCUGAGGCGCGAAAGCGUGGGGAGCAAACAGG
rnacentral:rRNA from 1 species